rnacentral:rRNA from 1 species
UAGGGAAUAUUGCACAAUGGGCGAAAGCCUGAUGCAGCAACGCCGCGUGUGCGAUGAAGGCCUUCGGGUCGUAAAGCACUUUUCUGGGAGAUGAGAAAGGACAGUAUCCCAGGAAUAAGUCUCGGCUAACUACGUGCCAGCAGCCGCGGUAAAACGUAGGAGGCAAGCGUUAUCCGGAUUCACUGGGCGUAAAGCGCGUGCAGGCGGUUUGGUAAGUUGGGCGUGAAAUCUCCCGGCUCAACUGGGAGGGGUCGUUCAAAACUACCAGACUCGAGAGCGAUAGAGGAAAAUGGAAUUCCCGGUGUAGUGGUGAAAUGCGUAGAUAUCGGGAGGAACACCAGUGGCGAAAGCGAUUUUCUGGAUCGUUUCUGACGCUCAGACGCGAAAGCUAGGGUAGCAAACGGGAUUAGAGACCCCGGUAGUCCUAGCUGUAAACGAUGUGAACUUGGCGUUGGUGGCUUAAACUCCAUCAGUGCCGAAGCUAACGCGAUAAGUUCACCGCCUGGGGACUACGGCCGCAAGGUUA